rnacentral:tRNA from 1 species
GUGUUUUUAUUAUAUUAUAAUAUAACUAUUUUGCAUUUAGUAGAAUGAUUUAACACU